rnacentral:rRNA from 1 species
UACGUAGGUGGCAAGCGUUGUCCGGAAUUAUUGGGCGUAAAGAGCUCGUAGGCGGUCUGUCGCGUCGGCUGUGAAAACCCGCGGCUCAACCUCGGGCCUGCAGUCGAUACGGGCAGACUAGAGUGCGGUAGGGGAGUCUGGAAUUCCUGGUGUAGCGGUGAAAUGCGCAGAUAUCAGGAGGAACACCGGUGGCGAAGGCGGGACUCUGGGCCGAUACUGACGCUGAGGAGCGAAAGCGUGGGGAGCAAACAGG